rnacentral:rRNA from 1 species
UACGUAGGGUGCAAGCGUUAUCCGGAAUUAUUGGGCGUAAAGAGCUCGUAGGCGGUUUGUCGCGUCUGCUGUGAAAACUGGGGGCUCAACCCCCAGCCUGCAGUGGGUACGGGCGGACUAGAGUGCGGUAGGGGAGAUUGGAAUUCCUGGUGUAGCGGUGGAAUGCGCAGAUAUCAGGAGGAACACCGAUGGCGAAGGCAGAUCUCUGGGCCGUAACUGACGCUGAGGAGCGAAAGCAUGGGGAGCGAACAGG